rnacentral:rRNA from 1 species
GAUGAACGCUGGCGGCGUGCCUAAUACAUGCAAGUCGAGCGAACAGACGAUGAGCUUGCUCCGCUGACGUGAGCGGCGCACGGGUGAGUAACACGUGGAUCACCCACCUAUCAGACGGGGAUCACCUCGAGAAACCGGAUCUAAUCCCGGAGAAUAUACUGAACCACAGGGGUCAAUAGAAAGAGACGGCUGUGCUGGCACUUCUAGAUGGAUCCGCGCCGGAUGAGCUAGUUGGGGAGGUAACGGGUUACCAAGGCUACGAUGCGUAGCCGAACGCAGAGGGUGAUAGGCCACACUAGAGAGGAGACACGGACCAGACUACUACGGGAGGGAGCAGUAGCGAAUCUUAGGCAAUAGUGGAGAACAUGACGGAGCGAGGCCGCGUCAGAGAUGGAGGCGUUGGGAUCGUGAAAAUCUGUUAUGGGGGAAAAACAAAUGUGUAAGGAACCAAGGACGUCUUGACGGUAACGGGUAAGAAAGCAACGGCUAACUACGUG